rnacentral:rRNA from 1 species
GACGAACGCUGGCGGCGUGCUUAACACAUGCAAGUCGAACGGAAAGGCCCUGCUUUUGUGGGGUGCUCGAGUGGCGAACGGGUGAGUAACACGUGAGUAACCUGCCCUUGACUUUGGGAUAACUUCAGGAAACUGGGGCUAAUACCGGAUAGGAGCUCCUGCUGCAUGGUGGGGGUUGGAAAGUUUCGGCGGUUGGGGAUGGACUCGCGGCUUAUCAGCUUGUUGGUGGGGUAGUGGUUUACCAAGGCUUUGACGGGUAGCCGGCCUGAGAGGGUGACCGGCCACAUUGGGACUGAGAUACGGACCAGACUCCUACGGGAGGCAACAGUGGGGAAUAUUGCGCAAUGGGCGGAAGCCUGAUGCAGCAACGCCGCGUGCGGGAUGACGGCCUUCGGGUUGUAAACCGCUUUCGCCUGUGACGAAGCGGGAGUGACGGUAAUGAGUAAAGAAGCACCGGCUAACUACGUG